rnacentral:tRNA from 1 species
AGCUCAGCAGGUAGAGCACAGGACUUGUACACCUGACAUCCCAGGUUUGAUUUCUGG